UGCCCAAGAGAUCGGGAUAACACCUGGAAACAGAUGCUAAUACCGGAUAAUAACAGAUGAUGCCUAUCAACUGUUUAAAAGAUGGUUCUGCUAUCACUCUUGGAUGGACCUGCGGUGCAUUAGCUAGUUGGUAGGGUAACGGCCUACCAAGGCGAUGAUGCAUAGCCGAGUUGAGAGACUGAUCGGCCACAUUGGGACUGAGACACGGCCCAAACUCCUACGGGAGGCAGCAGCG
rnacentral:rRNA from 1 species